rnacentral:rRNA from 1 species
CACUGCCGAGAAAAGCCUCUAGAUAGAAAAUAGGUGCCCGUACCGCAAACCGACACAGGUAGUCAAGAUGAGAAUUCUAAGGUGAGCGAGCGAACUCUCGUUAAGGAACUCGGCAAAAUGACCCCGUAACUUCGGGAGAAGGGGUGCUCUUUAGGGUUAACGCCCAGAAGAGCCGCAGUGAAUAGGCCCAAGCGACUGUUUAUCAAAAACACAGGUCUCUGCUAAACCGUAAGGUGAUGUAUAGGGGCUGACGCCUGCCCGGUGCUGGAAGGUUAAGAGGAGUGGUUAGCUUCUGCGAAGCUACGAAUCGAAGCCCCAGUAAACGGCGGCCGUAACUAUAACGGUCCUAAGGUAGCGAAAU